rnacentral:rRNA from 1 species
UGCUAAGGUAGCAUAAUCAAUUGUUGAUUAAUUGUCAACUGGAAUGAAGGGUUAAAUUAUUUAGGAGGUUUGUUAGAGUAUAUAAGAUUGGAUUUUAAGUUAAAAUACUUAGAUUUUUAGAGGGACGAUAAGACCCCAGAAGCUUUAUUUAAAAUAUUGUAUAAUUGACUGGGGUAGUAUGUUUAUAGAAAUUGUAUUUAUGUGGGUAAAGAUUCUUUAUAUAAAGAUAGAAAGAAAGAGUUACUUUGGGGGUAACAGCAUAAUUUUUUCGGGGAGACCAUAUUUAUGAAGAAGAUUAUGACCUCGAUGUUGAAUUAAGAGAUCUUCUAUGGGCAGUAAAAUAGAUAGAGAGUUUGUUCAACUUUUGAAAUCUUACAUGAUCUGAGUUCAAACCGGAGA